GGAAUAUUGCGCAAUGGCCGCAAGGCUGACGCAGCGACGCCGCGUGUGGGAGGACGCCCUUCGGGGUGUAAACCACUGUCAGGGGGGAAGAACAGCGCAGGUGAGAACAGUGCCUGCGUUUGACGGUACCCCCAGAGGAAGCGCCGGCUAACUCCGUGCCAGCAGCCGCGGUAAGACGGAGGGCGCAAGCGUUGUUCGGAAUUACUGGGCGUAAAGGGCAGGUAGGCGGUCUGUUAAGUCGUUUGUGAAAAUCCGGGGCUCAACUCCGGAAAUGCAGACGAAACUGGCGGGCUCGAGACCGGUAGAGGCUAGCGGAAUUCCUGGUGUAGCGGUGGAAUGCGUAGAUAUCAGGAAGAACACCUGUGGCGAAGGCGGCUAGCUGGGCCGGGUCUGACACUGAACUGCGAAAGCGUGGGGAGCAAAC
rnacentral:rRNA from 1 species